rnacentral:rRNA from 1 species
UCCCGCCUGCCCAGUGACUUUUUAAACGGCCGCGGUAUCCUAACCGUGCAAAGGUAGCAUAAUCACUUGUCCCCUAAAUAGGGACUAGAAUGAACGGCUAAAUGAGGACAAAACUGUCUCUUACGGACCAACCAAUGAAAUUGAUCUUCCAGUACAAAAGCUGGAAUAAAUCCAUAAGACGAGAAGACCCUGUGGAGCUUUAAAACCAAAACCACUAAAUAUGCUUCUUGGUUUUUUAGUUGGGGCGACUUUGGAGAAAAAACUAACCUCCAAAAAAAUAAAUCUAUUUAUCAAGAAUAAUACACCAAAAAUAAUCAAAUAGACCCAGCAACAUUUUUAUGUUGUCUGACCAAUAAACCAAGUUACCCCAGGGAUAACAGCGCCAUCCUCUUCUAGAGUCCCUAUCGACAAGAGGGUUUACGACCUCGAUGUUGGAUCAGGACACCCCUAUAGUGCAGCCGCUAUAAAAGGUUCGUUUGUUCAACGAUUAAAGUCC